UCAAACGCCGUCAAGCCCUAGGGUUGAGAGAGAAAGAGAGCGCCACGUGAGAGAGAGAAAGAAGCGAAGCUGCCAAUGUCGCGCCUCGUCCAUACCCUCAUUCGGGGGAUCCACUGGUGGUCAAGAAGAUUCACGAGGGACGACUGAAGCCACGAGGGACGACUGAAGCCUAGCGGGUGAGAAUUCCUCCCCUGACUACAUAAAAUUUCCAUCAUUCGCACCACACCGAAGACAGGGCUCUGCAUUAGCCAAUAACCGGUAAUAACUCCUCUGAAUCAUUCGCCUUGGUUUCCUAUACGUGUAGCUUUCCUCGAUUUGAAAUUUUGUGUGCGGGGUUGAAGAUUGGCUGUCAUCGCAAUGUCCACCACCGUAGCAUCCGGCGGUGUCGCGCGCGGGGCACUCGGCCUGUGUGGGGGAAUGGUCGGGAAUAGAUCUAAGGUGUUUUAAAUCCUGGCCACCGAUCGUGGAUCGGAUGGCUAUCGUUGAGUACCAGUUCACAUAAGGAUCGAUCUAAUUGGGGCCGUUAACCCUAGAUCGGGCAGCUCACAUGUCAUGAUACCCCUUCGGUCGCAUUAGUUUUGUAAAAGAACCCCUUUAAUUUUUACUAUUCAACCCGCACUCGGCUUCAACUCAUAAGAAAUUAGAUCUGGGCCCUAUUUUUAAUACUUUAAACCCUGGAUUACCUCAUAAUAGUACCCGCGGUACAUAUAAGGUUUGGGAUUUAUAAAAUGAAGCAGAAAAUUGAUUUUCAAUAUAAAAAUAAAUCAAAAAACUUAGAAAAUGUAUAACUUAUCUGUAUUAACUCCAAUUUUAGUGGUUCUCGAGCCUACGAUCUCAUAGCGACAUGUAGAACUUUAUUAUAUAGUUUGUUCUCAUGUUUGGUGUGAUGUUAAUUUUGCCUAUACAAUGUUUGUUUGUAUUGUUCCGAGUAGACGAGCAAGCAACUAAGGAACCCAAAGCACAGUAGAUUGAAGAUUCUGAGCUAGAGCUCGCAGAAGACAAGUUGUGCCCUUGAUCACUCUUCUUUAUCUAAUAAUGUUCCCCAUAAUCAGUAUGACAUGCUCAGGUUAAUUUGAUGGGACCUAAUAGGUUACCCUAGUUUGGUCUACUCUAUACCUUGCUUACCACUGAACUAUUGGGUAGUAUUUGCUAUUGCUCUAUGUGGUUUUAGGUGUUAUGAUGCAUAUUAUUCAUGAUCAUGCCUAUUACUGUCAAUAGACUCUUUGUUGUUCAUGAUAAGAUUAUUUUGGUUAAUUGGAACAUUUAGCGACCACCUAAGAUAAUAGUGCUACCACAAGGGUGGAAUGAGACGCUCUUGGCUAAUUAAUUAGGAAAGCUAGUGUGAGUUAAUCCUUUCCCGAAAGGGGCAAGCGGGGUGGAGUGCAGGUGUAGGGAGGUCCUCGGGUCGGACUGUCUAUAAAUCUUUUCUGAUGAGAGAUUCCUAUAUCGCCUUCGGCCUAGAAUCCAUAGUGAGUUCUCUCCUCUAGUGGAACUUUGGAAAGGCCUCGUAGUGCUACCAUGCCUCAUCUCCUAUGUAGAGAUGAAUAGGAUUAGAGACCCCUUGGCAAAUGGGUAAACACGUCUUGUGGGUAAAUAUGUGUAACCUCUGCAGAGUGUAAAACUAGUAUAUCUGUCAUGCUCAUGGUCAUGAGCGGUACGGACCCUGACAUGAGUAACUUAUGGAAUUAAACUUAAUCUAAAAUUUGCAUUGCAUUGUAGGAUUUAUUAUUAAAUGUGAUCUCUUAUUUAAUUUGGUUGGUAUACACUUAUACUUAGUGAUUGCUCAUAAAUUUUUUAAGAACUUAUUAAAAGCAAUGCUCAGGUUUAACCAUUAUUUGUUGAUAAGCCUUACACUACACAUGAGCCCCCACCAUAAGUGAGCUCAUGCACAUUAUUCACCACACUUGCUGAGCAAUGAACGUCUGUGAGCUCACUCUUGCUAUAAACCCUCCAGGUGAAGAGUAGGUACCGCCGGAGGAGGAUUACUACGAUGAGUUUGAUGAGAUCUAGGUGUCAUCUCCCAGUUAACUGUUGGCGCCGAGGACAUAGUUAUCUUAGUUUGAUUUAUUUAUUUAUUUAUUUAUUUAUUUAUUAUUUGCUAUUUUGUAAGACAUUCUCGUUAUAUAAUAAAGUUUGUGACAUUCGUCUCUAUACACUGAGUCAUUGUAUGUGUGUAUUUCGAUUUGGCGCACAUAUGAGACGCACCCGGGGUUGCCACGAAAUCCGGUUGUGAUAAUUACCUUGACCUCACUCUUGCGUGUAGUCUCCUGUACUACUCCACCCAUCACUUAGGUCCCCUUUAGGAGGG
rnacentral:lncRNA from 1 species